UCUGAUGUUUUUUGCUCCUUCCUGGUUCUCCUCUGGGACCCAGCAGAGGAGGUUGCCAGGUAAUGAACCUCUGAUCCAGAUAGCUGGUGCUGCACAUGGCACUGCUGGAAUAGUCUUUCUUGAAGACAGUGAAGGAGUGGAUUAUCUAUGAAGGUGGAAGAGAGGAAAGUUGUGGCCAUCAUUUACCUGCUGAGAUUGGAAGAACGCUGUUGAUGAAAGUCGGCUGAGACACGAUAGAGAGGAAGAAAAGCUGAAGAUAAAUUCCCAAAGUCAUUGGAUUCAGGACAA
rnacentral:lncRNA from 1 species